GUCCAGGUGCAGCGAGCGGAUGAGGAAGCGGUGCAGAGGAGCUUGGGCUCGCUCUCCCCCCGGAGGCUCGGAACAGCUUGGGCGGGCGUUUGGUCUGGUUUGUCGCCUCAGAUGGAUCAAAAGGUUUCUGCUGAUAGGCAAAGUUGCCCCACUUUCCGCGGCGGCGACGCGGAGUUACUUUCUGCAGCGAAGCAGCCUCGAGGACCUUAAAGGGAAAAGGCGGACAGAAGGAGGGCGAGCGCACUUGAUUUCGACCUUUAAGGGAGGCCCAGAUGCUGCCAGGCCCCUCAGUUUACCUUGCGAAGUUACUUACGGAUCAGCAGCAUUUGGUCUUCGUCGGGUGAGGGAGAAACCUAGGCAUCAAAUAAAUUCUGUUUCACAGA
rnacentral:lncRNA from 1 species